AUGGCGGAGGGCGCCUUUUUCGUUUCUGUACUGACCGUGAGGGCGGAAAGCAUGGGGGAGCAAACAGAAUAGAUACCCUGUAGUCCACGCCGUAAACGAUGAGUGCUAGUGUUAGAGGGUAUCGACCCUUAGUGCGUUAGCUAUGGCAUUAGGCACUCCGCCUGCGGAGUACGCCUCGCAAGAGGUGAAACUCCAAAGGAAUUGACUGGGGGCUGCACCAAGCCGGUUGGAGGCAUGUGGUUUAAUUCGAAGCAACGCCGAAGAACCUUAACCAGGUCUUGACCAUCCCCUUGACAACCCGAGAGAAUCGGGCGUUCCCCCCUUCGGGGGGACAGGGUGACAGGUGGUGCAUGGUUGUCGUCAGCUCGUGUCGUGAGAUGUUGGGUUAAGUCCCGCAACGAGCGCAACCCUCGACCUUAGUUGCCAGCAUUCAGUUGGGCACUCUAAGGUGACUGCCGGCUAAAAGUCGGAGGAAGGUGGGGAUGACGUCAAAUCAUCAUGCCCCUUAUGACCUGGGCUACACACGUGCUACAAUGGGCGGUACAAAGGGUCGCGAACCCGCGAGGGGGAGCCAAUCCCAAAAAGCCGCUCUCAGUUCGGAUUGCAGGCUGCAACUCGCCUGCAUGAAGCCGGAAUCGCUAGUAAUCGCGGAUCAGCAUGCCGCGGUGAAUACGUUCCCGGGCCUUGUACACACCGCCCGUCACACCACGAGAGUUGCAACACCCGAAGUCGGUGAGGUAACCCUUACGG
rnacentral:rRNA from 1 species